rnacentral:rRNA from 1 species
GACGAACGCUGGCGGCGUGCUUAACACAUGCAGGUCGAACGGAAAGGCCCUGCUUGCAGGGUACUCGAGUGGAGAACGGGUGAGUAACACGUGGGUGAUCUGCCCUGCACUUCGGGAUAAGCCUGGGAAACUGGGUCUAAUACCGGAUAGGAGCCAUUUUUAGUGUGAUGGUUGGAAAGUUUUUUCGGUGUAGGAUGAGCUCGCGGCCUAUCAGCUUGUUGGUGGGGUAAUGGCCUACCAAGGCGGCGACGGGUAGCCGGCCUGAGAGGGUGGACGGCCACAUUGGGACUGGGAUACGGCCCAGACUCCUACGGGAGGCAGCAGUGGGGAAUAUUGCACAAUGGGCGCAAGCCUGAUGCAGCGACGCCGCGUGGGGGAUGACGGCCUUCGGGUUGUAAACUCCUUUCGCUAGAGACGAAGCUUUUUGUGACGGUACCUAGAGAAGAAGCACCGGCUAACUACGUG